rnacentral:tRNA from 1 species
CUAGACCGACGGGCCUCGAUCCCGUA